GUCCCCAUCGUCUAGCGGUCAGGACGCCGCCCUUUCAAGGCGGAAACACGGGUUCAAUUCCCGUUGGGGGCA
rnacentral:tRNA from 1 species